CUAUACAUGCAGUCGAACGAGUUCUGAUUAUUGAAAGGUGCUUGCAUCUUGAUUUAAUUUUGAACGAGUGGCGGACGGGUGAGUAACACGUGGGUAACCUGCCCUUAAGUGGGGGAUAACAUUUGGAAACAGAUGCUAAUACCGCAUAAAUCCAAGAACCGCAUGGUUCUUGGCUGAAAGAUGGCGUAAGCUAUCGCUUUUGGAUGGACCCGCGGCGUAUUAGCUAGUUGGUGAGGUAACGGCUCACCAAGGCAAUGAUACGUAGCCGAACUGAGAGGUUGAUCGGCCACAUUGGGACUGAGACACGGCCCAAACUCCUACGGGAGGGCAGCAGUAGGGAAUCUUCCACAAUGGACGCAAGUCUGAUGGAGCAACGCCGCGUGAGUGAAGAAGGCUUUCGGGUCGUAAAACUCUGUUGUUGGAGAAGAAUGGUCGGCAGAGUAACUGUUGUCGGCGUGACGGUAUCCAACCAGAAAGCCACGGCUAACUACGUGCCAGCAGCCGCGGUAAUACGUAGGUGGCAAGCGUUAUCCGGAUUUAUUGGGCGUAAAGCGAGCGCAGGCGGUUUUUUAAGUCUGAUGUGAAAGCCCUCGGCUUAACCGAGGAAGUGCAUCGGAAACUGGGAAACUUGAGUGCAGAAGAGGACAGUGGAACUCCAUGUGUAGCGGUGAAAUGCGUAGAUAUAUGGAAGAACACCAGUGGCGAAGGCGGCUGUCUGGUCUGUAACUGACGCUGAGGCUCGAAAGCAUGGGUAGCGAACAGGAUUAGAUACCCUGGUAGUCCAUGCCGUAAACGAUGAAUGCUAGGUGUUGGAGGGUUUCCGCCCUUCAGUGCCGCAGCUAACGCAUUAAGCAUUCCGCCUGGGGAGUACGACCGCAAGGUUGAAACUCAAAGGAAUUGACGGGGGGCCCGCACAAGCGGUGGAGCAUGUGGUUUAAUUCGAAGCAACGCGAAGAACCUUACCAGGUCUUGACAUCUUUUGAUCACCUGAGAGAUCAUGGUUUCCCCUUCGGGGGCAAAAUGACAGGUGGUGCAUGGUUGUCGUCAGCUCGUGUCGUGAGAUGUUGGGUUAAGUCCCGCAACGAGCGCAACCCUUAUGACUAGUUGCCAGCAUUUAGUUGGGCACUCUAGUAAGACUGCCGGUGACAAACCGGAGGAAGGUGGGGAUGACGUCAAAUCAUCAUGCCCCUUAUGACCUGGGCUACACACGUGCUACAAUGGAUGGUACAACGAGUUGCGAGACCGCGAGGUCAAGCUAAUCUCUUAAAGCCAUUCUCAGUUCGGACUGUAGGCUGCAACUCGCCUACACGAAGUCGGAAUCGCUAGUAAUCGCGGAUCAGCACGCCGCGGUGAAUACGUUCCCGGGCCUUGUACACACCGCCCGUCACACCAUGAGAGUUUGUAACACCCGAAGCCGGUGGCGUAACCCUUUUAGGGAGCGAGCCGUCUAAGGU
rnacentral:rRNA from 1 species